rnacentral:SRP_RNA from 1 species
GCCGGGCGUGGUGGUCCAUGCCUGUAAUCCCAGCUACUUGGGAGGCUGAGGCAGGAGGAUUGCUUGAACCCAGGAGACAGAGGUUAUAGUGAGCCGAGAUCGUGCCACUGCACUCCAGCCUGGGCAACAGAGCGAGAUUCUGUCUCAA